AUUGAACGCUGGCGGCAUGCUUUACACAUGCAAGUCGAACGGUAACAGGCCUUCGGGUGCUGACGAGUGGCGCACGGGUGAGUAAUGCAUCGGAACGUACCCAGAGGUGGGGGAUAACGCAGCGAAAGCUGUGCUAAUACCGCAUGUGAUCUGAGGAUGAAAGCGGGGGACCGAGCAGCAAUGUUUGGCCUCGCGCCUUUGGAGCGGCCGAUGUCGGAUUAGCUAGUUGGUGGGGUAAAGGCCUACCAAGGCGACGAUCCGUAGCUGGUCUGAGAGGACGACCAGCCACACUGGGGCUGAGACACGGCCCAGACUCCUACGGGAGGCAGCAGUGGGGAAUUUUGGACAAUGGGCGCAAGCCUGAUCCAGCAAUGCCGCGUGCGGGAAGAAGGCCUUCGGGUUGUAAACCGCUUUUGGCAGGAACGAAACGGUGUCCGCUAAUACCGGGCGCUAAUGACGGUACCUGCAGAAUAAGCACCGGCUAACUACGUG
rnacentral:rRNA from 1 species